rnacentral:lncRNA from 1 species
UGAACACCGCCCUGGAGGUAAGCAAGGAAGCAGGAAUUUUAUUAAAAAGGAAAGUGAGAGAAAGAUCUAGAACUCCCUGAACAGAGCACCUGGGAGGGGCAAAGUGCCCUUUAAGUCUCGCAUUGCUCCUCCUUUUCAAGGCACAUAAGGAGAAGUCGAUAAGUUCCUCUUUAUUGGUUUUGGUAUUGCAACUGUCCCACAGCCAGCAUGGGCCGCAUUAUGGAUGAUGCAGUCACUUUGGGCAAGAUGGAGACUUCCACCUUUCUAAGAAGCAGGAACUGUCUUAUAACAUGUUGCAGCAAGUUAAGAUGCUGCCCUUGUGCUUGCCCUCUCAUCAAUCUAUACUGUCCCUUCCUAGUCUCCAAUGCCUAGCCUCUUUCAUCUCAAGCUCAGUCUGGUCCCUUGAAAUACAUGUACUGUAAACCUUAGGGCAAACUUUCUUUUUAAAUCAGAAGGACUAAGCAAAGCCAUAGAGCCCAUAAUACUAAAUAACACUUGGUUAAUCUAAAAGAAAGGAGGAGAGAAAAAGAGCAUGUGGCACCAACAGGAAACAGUCGAUUGAAGCCAGUCAUAUCCAUAAUUACAUUAAAUGUGAAUGGACUGAAGACCAACUGAAAGAUCACCAUGUCAUCAUCAAGAAUCAAGAAGAUGGCGUUUGCAAGAGACCUAGUUUAUAUUUAAAGACAAAUAGCUAAAAGUAAAAAUGGAAAAAAUAGCAAUAAUGAAAAACGGAAGUGUUCAUAGUAAGUGUGAUGCAGGAGAGACUUCAAGACAAAAGAAUUUCCCAAAAUAAAAAGGAGCUUUUCAUAAUGAUAAAAUUGAUACUGGUCUUGGAAAAAUCAGGAUUGGGUUCUUGUUCCCCUGGUGUUGAAGAUUAAACACCCAAGAAAUGCUGAGGCAAGUGUACGAAGCAAAGUUUAUUUAAG